AUGUCCUUCGAUGAUUGGCCAAACUUCCAAAGUCUGGCUCAAUGGUGGUCCGCUGUGAUCCACAUCAACACCCAACGAAGGAAGGUUGUUGCAUCCUUGGUGAUUCUCACGUCUUGAGAUAUCUGAAACGAGAGAAAUGUUCGGGUCUUUCGAAACAUCUACACCUUGCCAACGACGAUACUCGCCAUCGUCAAGCACGAGGCGUCACUUUGGGGCAUUGCCGCGGCCAAACACUUGAGGUUAAUCAUGCUGCGGGGGUAA
rnacentral:rRNA from 1 species